rnacentral:rRNA from 1 species
UAUUGCGCAAUGGGCGAAAGCCUGACGCAGCGACGCCGCGUGUGGGAGGAAGCUCUUCGGGGUGUAAACCACUGUCGGAGGGGAAGAACCCCGCCGGCUCGAACAGGAUCGGCGGCUGACGGUACCCUCAAAGGAAGCGCCGGCUAACUCCGUGCCAGCAGCCGCGGUAAGACGGAGGGCGCAAGCGUUGUUCGGAAUUACUGGGCGUAAAGCGCGGGCAGGCGGUCUGUUAAGUCGUUUGUGAAAAUCCGGGGCUCAACCCCGUGAAAUGCGUACGAUACUGGCAGGCUGGAGACCGGUAGAGGCUAGCGGAAUUCCUGGUGUAGCGGUGGAAUGCGUAGAUAUCAGGAAGAACACCUGUGGCGAAGGCGGCUAGCUGGGCCGGAUCUGACGCUCAUCCGCGAAAGCGUGGGGAGCAAACAG